AUUGAAACCAUUUUCCUCAAUAAAUUGAUUUAGUUUUCCGAUGCUUCUCAGAUUUGAUCUCAAGCAAUGGGUAGAUAUGGUAACAUGAUUCAACGCAUAUCCAUUGACAAGGGUCCAGGCAGCAUACUCGCUCUCCCUGGCAACAAUGCUCGUUGGGGAUACUUCUCUUCCAGAUACUGCCCAAGAAAUCUUCUCAUCACCAACAACAUAGUAAUGGUAAAAUUUACACACUCAAAUGGCAGAGUACAAGAAAACCAUACCAUUAUGAUAGCAAAAGAGUCGACAAUUACUGCAUCUCCAUCAACCAGCGUGGGCACGUAUGCUAGGGGAUUCAGCUUCAAGUAUUCUAUUCCAUACAUUACAAAGGCCAAAACUAAGAACCAAAUGUCACAUCUUUGAUUAAUGAGUUUUUAACUAUUAAAAUAUUGAGAUUAUGGUGAUAAGAAGAAUGGACAGAUAUUAUGCUGUUGCUAGUACAUGCCUGGAAUGUGGUGUUUCUGCAGUUUAUAAUCUCUAACAAGAUUAGAAGUCCUUUUUUUUGGAUGUUUGUAAAUUUCUAUUUAUGUGAAAUCGUAUAGAAUUUAUGCUCCUCU